rnacentral:rRNA from 1 species
GACGAACGCUGGCGGCGUGCUUAACACAUGCAAGUCGAACGGUAAGGCCCUUCGGGGUACACGAGUGGCGAACGGGUGAGUAACACGUGGGUGAUCUGCCCUGCACUUUGGGAUAAGCCUGGGAAACUGGGUCUAAUACCGAAUAUGACCAUGGACUUCACGGUUUGUGGUGGAAAGCUUUUGCGGUGUGGGAUGGGCCCGCGGCCUAUCAGCUUGUUGGUGGGGUAAUGGCCUACCAAGGCGACGACGGGUAGCCGGCCUGAGAGGGUGACCGGCCACACUGGGACUGAGAUACGGCCCAGACUCCUACGGGAGGCAGCAGUGGGGAAUAUUGCACAAUGGGCGCAAGCCUGAUGCAGCGACGCCGCGUGGGGGAUGACGGCCUUCGGUUGGUUAAACCUCUUUUCACCCAGGGACGAAGCGAGAGUGACGGUACCUGGAGAAGAAGGACCGGCCAACUACGUGCCAGC